GUGCUCACUUCGGCAGCACUUAUACUAAAAUUGGAACAAUAUAGAGAAGAUUAGCAUGGCCCCUGAGCAAGGAUGACACGCAAAUUCGUGAAGUGUUCCUUAUUUUU
ensembl:snRNA U6 U6 spliceosomal RNA